UCGGAUGAAAAGAACGGCAAAGCAAAAUGUAACAUAUGCCAAAAUAAUAUUUCUUUCAAGUCUGGGUCAACAAACAAUUUGCAUCGCCAUUUAAAAACGCAACACCCGACAGUCAAAGUGGCGGAGGGAAGAAGAGGACCAACUGAUGAUGGCGACGAUGAAGUCUCCAUCACUGAAACCGCCACUGCUUCUUCUGCCUCUACAUCAGGUGUUAGACGUCAAGCCACUAUCACUGUAGCUUCAGCUACUGCAGCACUCAGCGCUACCUCUGAUACCACUGGGCCCACAUCGUUGCCUGGCCAGGCACAUAGCUCUAGUCAAACCAUGCCUGCUACCACAAGACCAAAAACAAGACACAUCUCUCAGUAAAACUUUGCAUCACCUACCUUGACCCCAUUGAGACAGGCAAAGAUAGAUGAAGAGCUUGCAAAAAUGAUAGCCACUGACUUCCAACCAUUUAAAAUUGUGGAAGACAAAGGAUUAAAAAAAUUCUGCAGUGCUCUCAACCCCUCCUACACUCCUCCAUGUAGGAGGGUACUAACCCAGAAAGUUUGUGAGAUGUAUGAGAGAGAAGCAGCAUCACUUAGGACAAGGCUGUCCAAAGCGUCAGCAGUUUGCCUAACAACAGAUUGUUGGAUGUCAAGGGUUACAACCUCAUUCAUGUCUGUAACAUGCCACUUUAUUGAAGAUUUCCACAUGUCCUCCUGCCUAUUAGACUGUUUUGAAUUCAUUGAGCGGCACACAGUAGACAACCUGGCAACCAAGCUUCUCAGUGUUGCGGCAGAGUGGGAGGUCGAUAAGAAAGUGGUGUGCUGCUUAACUGACAAUGCUGCAAACAUCACAAAGGCUAUUCAAAUAACAGGAUGGACCCACCUUCCAUGCCGGGCACAUACGAUUAAUCUUGUGGUAGGAGAUGCCCUCAAAGGUCCACAACCCAUCAUCGAUAAAGUUAAAGAGGCAGUCGAAUACUUUCAUACAGGCACAGUGGGUGCACAAUAACUGAAGGAAACACAGCUCCAAAUGAAGAUGGAUCAACUAUGACCCAAACAGGACUGUGUCACAAGAUGGAACUCAACAUAUUACACGUUGCAGAGUUUUAUGACAAAUAAGAACCCCAUCGUCUCCACCCUGGCCAUCACCAAUGCACUGACUGUAGUGCAGGAGAUGUGCACCAUCUGAAAGCCGUUUGAAGAGGUCACUGUUGAACUGCAAGUGCAGAAAGCUACAUGACUGCCUCCAAGGUUAUACUGCUGGCCAGGGGACUGCAGAGAGCCACGACAGAUUUCCAGAGGAGGGCAACAACACAGGCAGCAAAAGACAUGGUCAACUCUCUGUGUUCAAGCAUGUCAGCUAGAUUGCGCAGAAUGGAUGCCAACCACACCCUGGCAGAUGCUGGCAAGGAUGGCAUUCAUGGAUGGUAGAUCUGCAGACGAGGCUUUCCAGAGAAUAUCAACUGCAGCAGCAAGACUCACUCUAAGCAGCAGCGAACCCAUCCACCAACCAAUCCAAGGGGAAGGAGCAGGCAGUGCUGCACCAGAAUCAGUUGUUUGGAGCUAUUUCCAUGAGCAGGUAGCUGGAACAGUGCCAAUUGGAACCAGGAAUCCCACAGCAGAUGCCAUCAUGGAGGUGCAGGCUUACCUAUAGGAGCCUCUUGUUCCAAAAAACGAGGAUCCUCUGGAGUGGUGGAAUAGUUGGGCCCACGUGUACCCCAGGCUUAGCAAGCUCAUGGCUAAGAGGCUUUGCGUUGUGGCGACAUCAGUUCCAUCUGAGAGAAUAUCCUCCAAGACUGGACAAAUAAUCUCAGAGAGAAGAAGUUGCCUCAAGCCUGCAAAAGUGAGAUCACUUGUGUUCCUCAAUGCAAAUUUGCCAAAGGACAAGGAGAGCCAGAAGAAGCCAUAAAGCAUGAAACGGCUUUAUUAUUUCAGAGCUGUCAUUUAUUUUGUUUACACUUUAUUUUGUUGUUUACAGUGAGUUUUUCUAUCUUUCUAAAAAUAUUGUUUACUAAAAUUUGCACUAAUGUUACCAAGGACAGUUCAGGAGUCCUCUGCAGGGUUAUACUUGAACCUUGUUUUG